rnacentral:rRNA from 1 species
CAGAGUGACAGGUGGUGCAUGGUGUCGUCAGCUCGUGUCGUGAGAUGUUGGGUUAAGUCCCGCAACGAGCGCAACCCUUAAUUUAGUUGCCACAUUAAGUUGGGCACUCUAUAGGAGACUGCCGGGACAAACCGGAGGAAGGUGGGGAGACGUCAAAUCAUCAUGCCCCUUAUGACUGGGCUACACACGUGCUACAAUGGACGGUACAAAGGGUUAGCGAAGACCGCGAGGUGAAGCUAAUCUCAUAAAGCCAUUCUCAGUUCGGAUUGUCAGGCUGCAACUCGCCUGACAUGAAGCCGGGAAU